rnacentral:rRNA from 1 species
CCUACGGGAGGCAGCAGUAAGGAAUAUUGGUCAAUGGGCGCAAGCCUGAACCAGCCAUGCCGCGUGCAGGAUGACGGCCCUCUGGGUUGUAAACUGCUUUUAUACGGGAAGAACAGCAUCUACGUGUAGGUGUUUGACGGUACUGUAAGAAUAAGGACCGGCUAACUUCGUGCCAGCAGCCGCGGUAAUACGAAGGGUCCAAGCGUUAUCCGGAUUUAUUGGGUUUAAAGGGUGCGUAGGCGGCUUUUUAAGUCAGUGGUGAAAGCCUGAUGCUCAACAUCAGAACUGCCAUUGAUACUGAAGAGCUUGAGUACAGUUGAGGUUGGCGGAAUGUGUCAUGUAGCGGUGAAAUGCUUAGAUAUGACACAGAACACCGAUUGCGAAGGCAGCUAGCUAAGCUGUUACUGACGCUGAUGCACGAAAGCGUGGGGAGCAAACAGGAUUAGAUACCCUGGUAGUCCAUGCCCUAAACGUUGAUAACUCGUUGUUAGCGAUAUACUGUUAGCGACCAAGCGAAAGCAUUAAGUUAUCCACCUGGGAAGUACGGUCGCAGAUUGAAACUCAAAUGAGUAGAGNGNGAGAGNGCGAGGACGACACGAGGGAGGUAGG